CCGAGCGCUCCGUGUAUCCGGGGAGCUGGGCGCGGUGCCGGCCGUCCAGCACCCGUCCCAGAUCCAAGCCAGCCUGGCCUAAAGCCGGAAGCCCAGGGUUGGAGUCUAGUUUUGCAAGAGGCCUUUGCGAGCUGGGCCAGGUCUGCGGCAACACAGGUUCGUGCCCCCGUCCGGGAAGAUCCCACAUGCCGCGGAGCGGCUGGGCCCGUGAGCCUGCGUGUCCGGAGCCUGUGCUCCGCAACGGGAGAGGCCACCACAGUGAGAGGCCCCCAUACCGCAAAAAAAAAAGGGGGGGGACAGUUGUUUUUCCUAGAGCACGGGGUGCCUCAUUGCUGAUCUCCAGCCAGAACUCCUUUCAGGGUGUGUGGAAGGUCAGCGAGUGCAGUGGCUAGGGACCCAACCCUUGUAGAGGCAGAUGAUAUCAAAAGUGAAGUGUUUACCACAGCUGAUUCUAACCAGCCGAAGCUGAUAAUGACUAAGAACUCUGAGCAAUUCCACUUAGGCCAGACGCUCAACAACUUAAUGGAAGAGUCUCCUGAAAAAACAAUGACAGGGGCUUCCCUGGUGGCGCAGUGGUUGGGAAUCCGCCUGCUAGUGCAGGGGACACGGGUUCAAGUUCUGGUCCGGGAGGAUCCCACAUGCCGUGGACCAACUGGGCCCGUGCACCACAACUACUAAGCCUGUGCUCUAGAGCCCGCGAGCCACAACUGCUGAGCCUGCGUGCCACAACUAUUGAAGCCCGCGCGCCUAGAGCCCGUGCUCAGCAACAAGGGAGGCCACCGCAGUGAAAGGCCCGUGCACCGCAACAAAGAUUAGCCCCCGCUCGCCGCAACUAGAGGGAGCCUUCGCGCAACGAAGAUCCAACGCAGCCUAAAUAAAAAAAUAAAUUUUAUCAUUUAAAAAAAAUGACAGGACUUGCCUUAACCAGCUGGGAUGAUUUAGGGAUUCAUUUCUCCCUAUGCAGAUGCAAGCUUCAAACCUUAGUUAAGCCCACCAUGAUCCUCCCCCUGCCUUUUAGACUUAAAAAAGUUGAACCACAGAGAAUUAGUUACCUAUAGUCCUAGCCCUUGGUUGAGCUAUUAUUUGAAAUAAGCUGUCCUACACCCUUAACUCUAC